AGCAGCAGCCGCGGUAAUACGUAGGUGGCAAGCGUUGUCCGGAAUUAUUGGGCGUAAAGGGCUCGCAGGCGGUUUCUUAAGUCUGAUGUGAAAGCCCCCGGCUCAACCGGGGAGGGUCAUUGGAAACUGGGAAACUUGAGUGCAGAAGAGGAGAGUGGAAUUCCACGUGUAGCGGUGAAAUGCGUAGAGAUGUGGAGGAACACCAGUGGCGAAGGCGACUCUCUGGUCUGUAACUGACGCUGAGGAGCGAAAGCGUGGGGAGCGAACAGGAUUAGAUACCCGCGUAGUCCCUGUCUCUUAUAC
rnacentral:rRNA from 1 species